UACGAAGGGGGCUAGCGUUGCUCGGAAUCACUGGGCGUAAAGCGCACGUAGGCGGGUCGUUAAGUCAGGGGUGAAAUCCUGGAGCUCAACUCCAGAACUGCCCUUGAUACUGGCGAUCUCGAGUUCGGGAGAGGUGAGUGGAACUGCGAGUGUAGAGGUGAAAUUCGUAGAUAUUCGCAAGAACACCAGUGGCGAAGGCGGCUCACUGGCCGAUACUGACGCUGAGGUGCGAAAGCGUGGGAGCAACAGG
rnacentral:rRNA from 1 species